AGUGAACGCUGGCGGUAGGCCUAACACAUGCAAGUCGAACGGCAGCACAGUAAGAGCUUGCUCUUACGGGUGGCGAGUGGCGGACGGGUGAGGAAUACAUCGGAAUCUACUUUUUCGUGGGGGAUAACGUAGGGAAACUUACGCUAAUACCGCAUACGACCUACGGGUGAAAGCAGGGGAUCUUCGGACCUUGCGCGAUUGAAUGAGCCGAUGUCGGAUUAGCUAGUUGGCGGGGUAAAGGCCCACCAAGGCGACGAUCCGUAGCGGGUCUGAGAGGAUGAUCAGCCACACUGAAACUGAGACACGGUCCAGACUCCUACGGGAGGCAGCAGUGGGGAAUAUUGGACAAUGGGCGCAAGCCUGAUCCAGCCAUACCGCGUGGGUGAAGAAGGCCUUCGGGUUGUAAAGCCCUUUUGUUGGGAAAGAAAAGCAGCAGGUUAAUACCCCGCUGUUCUGACGGUACCCAAAGAAUAAGCACCGGCUAACUUCG
rnacentral:rRNA from 1 species